rnacentral:rRNA from 1 species
AUUGAACGCUGGCGGCAGGCUUAACACAUGCAAGUCGAGCGAGCGGCGGACGGGUGAGUAAUGUCUGGGAAACUGCCUGAUGGAGGGGGAUAACUACUGGACACGGUAGCUAAUACCGCCUACCAUAAGAUGUUCCCAGAUGGGAUUAGCUAGUGGGUGGGUGAAUGGCUCACCUAGGCGACGAUCCCUAGCUGGUCUGAGAGGAUGACCAGCCACACUGGAACUGAGACACGGUCCAGACUCCGACGGGAGGCAGCAGUGGGGAAUAUUGCACAAUGGGCGCAAGCCUGAUGCAGCCAUGCCGCGUGUGUGAAGAAGGCCUUCGGGUUGUAAAGCACUUUCAGCGAGGAGGCGUUACUCGCAGAAGAAGCACCGGCUAACUCCGUGCCAGCCGCCGCGGUAAUUC